CCUACGGGCGGCAGCAGUGAGGAAUAUUGGUCAAUGGGCGGAAGCCUGAACCAGCCAAGUCGCGUGCAGGAUGACGGCCCUACGGGUUGUAAACUGCUUUUAUACGGGAAUAACGCCCCUUACGUGUAGGGCUUUGCAUGUACCGUAUGAAUAAGGACCGGCUAAUUCCGUGCCAGCAGCCGCGGUAAUACGGAGGGUCCGGGCGUUAUCCGGAUUUAUUGGGUUUAAAGGGAGCGUAGGCCGCAUGUUAAGAGUGCUGUGAAAUGUCCGGGCUCAACCCGGGCCUUGCAGCUCGAACUGGCGUGCUUGAGUGCGGGGAAGGCAGGCGGAAUGCGUCGUGUAGCGGUGAAAUGCUUAGAUAUGACGAAGAACCCCGAUUGCGAAGGCAGCUUGCUGCAGCGGAACUGACGCUGAGGCUCGAAAGCGCGGGUAGCGAACAGGAUUAGAUACCCUAGUAGUC
rnacentral:rRNA from 1 species